GACGAACCGUGCGAACGUUAUUCGGAAUCACUGGGCUUAAAGCGCGUGUAGGCGGAUGGGAACGUCGGUCGCUGAAAUCCCCCGGCUCAACCGGGGAACGGGCGCCGAAACGACCCGUCUCGAGGGACGUAGGGGGACCUGGAACUUCCGGUGGAGCGGUGAAAUGCGUUGAGAUCGGAAGGAACGCCCGUGGCGAAAGCGAGGUCCUGGACGUCUACUGACGCUGAGACGCGAAAGCUAGGGUAGCGAACGGG
rnacentral:rRNA from 1 species